ACUGCUCAGUAACACGUGGACAACCUGCCCUUAGGUUGGGUAUAAACCCGGGAAACUGGGUAUAAUACCCGAUAGGUCUCGAUUGCUGGAAUGCAUCGAGAUUUAAAGCUCCGGCGCCUAAGGAUGGGUCUGCGGCCUAUCAGGUAGUAGUGGGUGUAGCGUACCUACUAGCCUACGACGGGUACGGGUUGUGAGAGCAAGAGCCCGGAGAUGGAUUCUGAGACACGAAUCCAGGCCCUACGGGGUGCAGCAGGCGCGAAAACUUUACAAUGCUGGCAACAGCGAUAAGGGAACCUCGAGUGCCAGGUUACAAAUCUGGCUGUCGAGAUGCCUAAAAAGCAUUUCAUAGCAAGGGCCGGGCAAGACCGGUGCCAGCCGCCGCGGUAACACCGGCGGCUCGAGUGGUGACCGUUAUUAUUGGGUCUAAAGGGUCUGUAGCCGGCCGGAUAAGUCUCUUGAGAAAUCUGGCAGCUUAACUGUCAGGCUUUCAGGAGAUACUGUCUGGCUCGAGGCCGGGAGAGGUGAGAGGUACUUCAGGGGUAGGGGUGAAAUCUUGUAAUCCUUGAAGGACCACCAGUGGCGAAGGCGUCUCACCAGAACGGACCUGACGGCAAGGGACGAAAGCUAGGGGCACGAACCGGAUUAGAUACCCGGGUAGUCCUAGCCGUAAACGAUACUCGCUAGGUGUCGGCCACGGUGCGACCGUUGUCGGUGCCGUAGGGAAGCCGUGAAGCGAGCCACCUGGGAAGUACGGCCGCAAGGCUGAAACUUAAAGGAAUUGGCGGGGGAGCAC
rnacentral:rRNA from 1 species